UACGGAGGAUGCAAGCGUUAUCCGGAUUCAUUGGGUUUAAAGGGUGCGCAGGCGGAAUGAUAAGUCAGUGGUGAAAUCUCUCGGCUCAACUGAGAAACUGCCAUUGAUACUGUCGUUCUUGAGUACACUUGGAGUGGGCGGAAUGUGUCAUGUAGCGGUGAAAUGCUUAGAUAUGACACAGAACACCGAUCGCGAAGGCAGCUCACUAAGUUGUAACUGACGCUCAGGCACGAAAGCGUGGGGAUCAAACAGG
rnacentral:rRNA from 1 species